rnacentral:rRNA from 1 species
UACGGAGGAUGCAAGCGUUAUCCGGAAUGAUUGGGCGUAAAGCGUCCGCAGGUGGCCAUGUAAGUCUGCUGUCAAAGCGUCUGGCUCAACCAGAUAAAGGCAGUGGAAACUACAUAGCUAGAGUAAGGUAGGGGUAGAGGGAAUUCCUGGUGUAGCGGUGAAAUGCGUAGAGAUCAGGAAGAACACCGGUGGCGAAAGCGCUCUGCUGGGCCUUAACUGACACUGAGGGACGAAAGCUAGGGGAGCGAAUGGG